rnacentral:piRNA from 1 species
AUGGGUUUCUGAAUAAAAUUUGUAGUG